UACAGAGGUGCCAAGCGUUAGGCGGAAUCACUGGGCUUAAAGCGCGUGUAGGUGGACGGGUAAGUAUCUUGUGAAAUCCCACGGCUCAACCGAGGAACUGCUGGAUAUACUGCUUGUCUUGAGGCACUUAGGGGCAGCUGGAACAAAUGGUGGAGCGGUGAAAUGCGUAGAUAUCAUUUGGAACGCCAAAGGCGAAAGCAGGCUGCUGGGAGUGAUCUGACACUGAGACGCGAAAGCCAGGGGAGCAAACGGG
rnacentral:rRNA from 1 species